AUUGAACGCUGGCGGCAGGCUUAACACAUGCAAGUCGAGCGGAGAUGAGGUGCUUGCACCUUAUCUUAGCGGCGGACGGGUGAGUAAUGCUUAGGAAUCUGCCUAUUAGUGGGGGACAACAUUCCGAAAGGAAUGCUAAUACCGCAUACGUCCUACGGGAGAAAGCAGGGGAUCUUCGGACCUUGCGCUAAUAGAUGAGCCUAAGUCGGAUUAGCUAGUUGGUGGGGUAAAGGCCUACCAAGGCGACGAUCUGUAGCGGGUCUGAGAGGAUGAUCCCCCACACUGGGACUGAGACACGGCCCAGACACCUAAGGGAGGCAGCAGUGGGGAAUAUUGGACAAUGGGGGAAACCCUGAUCCAGCCAUGCCGCGUGUGUGAAGAAGGCCUUAUGGUUGUAAAGCACUUUAAGCGAGGAGGAGGCUACUGAGACUAAUACUCUUGGAUAGUGGACGUUACUCGCAGAAUAAGCACCGGCUAACUCUGUGCCAGCAGCCGCCGUAA
rnacentral:rRNA from 1 species